rnacentral:rRNA from 1 species
ACGUACCUCUUGUUCUUCCUCGGCAGGGUAACCUGCCGAUGGAACCUCAUCACACCCUUUUGCAUCCAGCAUUACCCGUUCUGAUAACCUAAAUCGUUACAACUUUUAACAAUGGAUCUCUUGGCUCUGGCAUCGAUGAAGAACGCAGCGAAAUGCGAUAAGUAGUGUGAAUUGCAGAAUUCAGUGAAUCAUCGAAUCUUUGAACGCACAUUGCGCCCCUUGGUAUUCCGAGGGGCAUGCCUGUUCGAGCGUCAUCUACACCCUCAAGCACUGCUUGGUGAUGGGCGUCUGUCCCGCCUCUGCGCGUGGACUCGCCCCAAUGUCAUUGGCAGCGGUCCUGACCGCCUCUCGCGCAGCACAUUUGCGCGUCUCGAGGUGACGGGUCCGCAUCCAUGAAGCUAUUUUAACCAUUUUGACCUCGGAUCAGGUAGGGAUACCCGCUGAACUUAAGCAUAUCAAUAAGCGGAGGAA